AAUAUCCCACGCCUGGUAGCAGCUAGAUAGGUUUAAUAUCCCACGCCUGGUAGCAGCUAGAUAGGUUUAAUAUCCCUCGUCAAAUAGCAGCUAGAUAGGUUUAAUAUCCCACGCCUGGUAGCAGCUAGAUAGGUUUAAUAUCCCACGCCAGGUAGCAGCUAGAUAGGUUUAAUAUCCCACGCCAGGUAGCAGCUAGAUAGGUUUAAUAUCCCACUCCUGGUAGCAGCUAGAUAGGUUUAAUAUCCCACGCCUGGUAGCAGCUAGAUAGGUUUAAUAUCCCACUCCUGGUAGCAGCUAGAUAGGUUUAAUAUCCCACGCCUGGUAGCAGCUAGAUAGGUUUAAUAUCCCACGCCUGGUAGCAGCUAGAUAGGUUUAAUAUCCCACUCCUGGUAGCAGCUAGAUAGGUUUAAUAUCCCACUCCUGGUAGCAGCUAGAUAGGUUUAAUAUCCCACGCCUGGUAGCAGCUAGAUAGGUUUAAUACCCCACGCCUGAUAGCAGCUAGAUAGGUUUAAUAUCCCACGCCUGGUAGCAGCUAGAUAGGUUUAAUAUCCCACGCCUGGUAGCAGCUAGAUAGGUUUAAUAUCCCACGCCUGGUAGCAGCUAGAUAGGUUUAAUAUCCCACUCCUGGUAGCAGCUAGAUAGGUUUAAUAUCCCACGCCUGGUAGCAGCUAGAUAGGUUUAAUACCCCACGCCUGAUAGCAGCUAGAUAGGUUUAAUAUCCCACGCCUGGUAGCAGCUAGAUAGGUUUAAUAUCCCACUCCUGGUAGCAGCUAGAUAGGUUUAAUAUCCCACGCCUGGUAGCAGCUAGAUAGGUUUAAUAUCCCACUCCUGGUAGCAGCUAGAUAGGUUUAAUAUCCCACGCCUGGUAGCAGCUAGAUAGGUUUAAUACCCCACGCCUGAUAGCAGCUAGAUAGGUUUAAUAUCCCACGCCUGGUAGCAGCUAGAUAGGUUUAAUAUCCCACUCCUGGUAGCAGCUAGAUAGGUUUAAUAUCCCACGCCUGGUAGCAGCUAGAUAGGUUUAAUAUCCCACUCCUGGUAGCAGCUAGAUAGGUUUAAUAUCCCACGCCUGAUAGCAGCUAGAUAGGUUUAAUAUCCCACGCCUGGUAGCAGCUAGAUAGGUUUAAUAUCCCACUCCUGGUAGCAGCUAGAUAGGUUUAAUAUCCCACUCCUGGUAGCAGCUAGAUAGGUUUAAUAUCCCACGCCUGGUAGCAGCUAGAUAGGUUUAAUAUCCCACGCCUGGUAGCAGCUAGAUAGGUUUAAUAUCCCACGCCUGAUAGCAGCUAGAUAGGUUUAAUAUCCCACGCCUGGUAGCAGCUAGAUAGGUUUAAUAUCCCACGCCUGGUAGCAGCUAGAUAGGUUUAAUAUCC